AUUCCCUUUCUCUCUCUUUCUCUCCCCCCUCGGCCGCGUUCUCGCCUCUCCGUCACCGCCUUUCCUCCGGCGACGAAACCCUGCGACGAAACGGCGGCGACGAUGCAGCAGGCGGCAGGAGGUGCUGAUUCCCAGCAACAACAGCAGCAGCAGCAGCAACAGCAAUGGAUGGCGAUGCAGUACCCGCCGGCGGCGGCAAUGGUGAUGCCACACCAGAUGGUGGCGGCGGUGCCGCCGCCACCCCCGCCGCAGUACGCUCAGCAUUUCCUUCCGUACCACCAGCCGCCUCCGCCGCAGCACCACCAGCACCAGGCCGGGGCGGCGGGGGGGGAGGAGAACAAGACGAUCUGGGUGGGGGACCUGCACUACUGGAUGGAGGAGAACUACCUCCACAGCUGCUUCGGCCACACCGGCGAGGUGGUCUCUAUUAAAGUUAUUCGCAAUAAACAAACUGGACAGUCAGAGGGAUAUGGUUUUGUAGAGUUUUAUACACGUGCAGCAGCUGAAAAAGUACUUCAGAGCUUUGCUGGUCAUAUAAUGCCCAACACUGAUCAGCCUUUUAGGUUAAAUUGGGCAUCAUUUAGCAUGGGUGAUAGGCGUUCAGAUGUUGCUUCUGACCACUCUAUAUUUGUAGGAGAUCUAGCUGCUGAUGUUACUGAUGCAAUGCUGCAAGAAACUUUUGCUAGUAAGUACCCAUCCGUAAAAGGUGCAAAAGUUGUUAUUGAUGCAAAUACUGGCCGUUCAAAGGGUUAUGGAUUUGUAAGAUUUGGGAAUGAUGGUGAGAAGACACUUGCCAUGACUGAAAUGAAUGGUGUAUACUGCUCUACUAGGCCCAUGCGCAUUGGUCCUGCAACCCCCAGAAAGUCAUCUGGUGGUUCUGGAAAUGGUGCAUCUGGACAAUCAGAUGGUGAUUCAACUAACACAACAGUUUUUGUUGGAGGGCUGGACCCAAAUGUCAGUGAGGACGAUCUCAGGCAAGCCUUUUCUCCAUUUGGUGAUAUUGCCUCUGUGAAAAUUCCAGUUGGAAAACAAUGUGGAUUUGUGCAAUUUGUUCAGAGAUUUUAUGUGUAUGGCACUUCACUGUCUUUGGUAGAAACAAUGCUGAAGAAGCAUUGCAGGCGUUGAAUGGAGCAGUCAUCGGGAAGCAGCAGGUUCGUCUUUCAUGGGGUCGUAACCCUGCAAACAAACAGUUAAGAGGUGAUCAUGGUAAUCAAUGGAAUGGUUUUUACUAUGGAGCACCGUUCUACAAUGGAUACGGGUAUGCUGCACCAUUUCCAGACCCAAGCAUGUAUGCUGCUGCUUAUGGGGCUUAUUCCUUCUAUGGAAACCAACAACAAGUGAGCUGAUUUGGGUAUCAAAAUCUGAGCUGGCUAAGUUGCUCUGAGUGACUGAUAGAAGGUAGAUGAUUUUAGGAGAGUUAGUAGAUUUUGACUGGUAAUGUAACAUAAUCCAGAUUUAGCACUUCCCCAGUCACCCAUUUUCAUCGAAGAUUUUUGUCAUUCUUUUUUAUAAAUUUUGACUCGGUGAUGAAAGUAAACUAGAAUUUUUUUAAGCUGCAUCGAUGUGCUUCAAUUUGAUAUAUUGUUUUAAGAUGAUUUAUAUGUACGAUAACAAAAUUAACUUCUAAAAUUAAGUUUUUGGAUAAUGGUUUUUGGGAAA